rnacentral:tRNA from 1 species
GGAGGGUUCGCAUAGUGGUCGAGUGCGCUCGCUUGGAAAGCGAGUAGGGGGAAACCUCUCAUGAGUUCGAAUCUCAUACCCUCCGCCA